rnacentral:rRNA from 1 species
AUUGAACGCUGGCGGCAGGCCUAACACAUGCAAGUCGAGCGGAUGAAGGGAGCUUGCUCCUGGAUUCAGCGGCGGACGGGUGAGUAAUGCCUAGGAAUCUGCCUGGUAGUGGGGGAUAACGUCCGGAAACGGGCGCUAAUACCGCAUACGUCCUGAGGGAGAAAGUGGGGGAUCUUCGGACCUCACGCUAUCAGAUGAGCCUAGGUCGGAUUAGCUAGUUGGUGGGGUAAAGGCCUACCAAGGCGACGAUCCGUAACUGGUCUGAGAGGAUGAUCAGUCACACUGGAACAGAGACACGGUCCGGACUCCUACGGGAGGCAGCGGUGGGGAAUAUUGGAAAAUGGGCGAAGGCCUGAUCAAGCCAUGCCGGGGGGGGGAAGAAGUUUUUCGGAUUGUAAAGCACUUUAAGAGAGGAGAAAGGGCAGUAAGUUAGUACCUUGCUGUUUUGACGUUACCAACAGAAUAAGCACCGGCUAACUUCGUG